rnacentral:tRNA from 12 species
UUCUAAUGUGGCAGAUUAGUGCAAUGAAUUUAAGCUUCAUAUAUAAAGCCACAGCUUUUGUUAGAAA